GAUGAACGCUGGCGGCGUGCCUAAUGCAUGCAAGUCGAGCGACGCAUGCCGGAGGGGUAACCCACUGACAUGACGGAGCGGCGAACGGGUGAGUAACACGUGAGCAACCUGCCCCACAGACCGGGAUAGCCCAGGGAAACCUGGAUUAAUACCGGAUAUCCUCGGAUGACCUCAUGGUCGAUCGAGGAAAUGCCUUUGUGCUGUGGGAUGGGCUCGCGGCUUAUCAGCUAGUUGGUGGGGUAACGGCCUACCAAGGCAUCGACGAGUAGCUGGUCUGAGAGGACGAUCAGCCACACUGGGACUGAGACACGGCCCAGACACCUACGGGUGGCUG
rnacentral:rRNA from 1 species